UUCUUUCCUCCCGAGUGCUUGCACUCAAUUGGAAAGAGGAGUGGCGGACGGGUGAGUAACACGUGGGUAACCUACCCAUCAGAGGGGGAUAACACUUGGAAACAGGUGCUAAUACCGCAUAACAGUUUAUGCCGCAUGGCAUAAGAGUGAAAGGCGCUUUCGGGUGUCGCUGAUGGAUGGACCCGCGGUGCAUUAGCUAGUUGGUGAGGUAACGGCUCACCAAGGCCACGAUGCAUAGCCGACCUGAGAGGGUGAUCGGCCACACUGGGACUGAGACACGGCCCAGACUCCUACGGGAGGCAGCAGUAGGGAAUCUUCGGCAAUGGACGAAAGUCUGACCGAGCAACGCCGCGUGAGUGAAGAAGGUUUUCGGAUCGUAAAACUCUGUUGUUAGAGAAGAACAAGGACGUUAGUAACUGAACGUCCCCUGACGGUAUCUAACCAGAAAGCCACGGCUAACUACGUGCCAGCAGCGGCGG
rnacentral:rRNA from 1 species